UACGAAGGGGGCUAGCGUUGCUCGGAAUCACUGGGCGUAAAGCGCACGUAGGCGGCUUUCUAAGUCAGGGGUGAAAUCCUGGAGCUCAACUCCAGAACUGCCUUUGAUACUGGAGAGCUAGAGUCCGGAAGAGGUGAGUGGAACUGCGAGUGUAGAGGUGAAAUUCGUAGAUAUUCGCAAGAACACCAGUGGCGAAGGCGGCUCACUGGUCCGGUACUGACGCUGAGGUGCGCAAGCGUGGGGAGCAAACAGG
rnacentral:rRNA from 1 species